rnacentral:lncRNA from 10 species
CUGUGUUGCCCAGGCUGGUCUUGAACUCCUGACCUCAAGCAAUCCUCCCGCCUCGGCCUCCCAAGGUGCUGGGAUUACAGUAUUAAACAAAAAUUCCAUCUGGUCCUCGCUCCACUAUUACCAAUCCUGACCUCUAGAGUUUUAUCAGUCACCUUGGCCUAUCAAUUGCGAAUUUCUCUAUGGCCUAAAAUUUUACUUGGAAAACACACUCUGGAGGUUGGGGGUGAGUGGGGAGAAAGUGAGAAGGCAGAGCAAAGCCCUGUCCUCUAUAUGUUCUGUGGGGGGAAAAAAAGGCUAAAAAAAAGUAAAUAUUUUAUGUAUCUAGUGAUUAUUUUCCCCAUAAACUACAAAGCCUUACAGAUUUUUACUUUGAUUCAGUUUUCCUAAGAUUGAUGAAUACCUACAAAGCAUCAAAAAUAAAUUCCAAAUAGCUCUCUAUUGUGGUUUAAGAAGAGGAGUUCUUCCCUUUUAUAACACACUUUGCAAGGCCAAAGAAUCCAGCUUCCACAUCCUAAUAGACACCACAAUCCUUUUAAUAAAAAUUACAGCACAGAGCUAAUACUUGAAGCAUUCCUAGUAAAUCUUAUUGCAAAUUUCUAUCAAGGAAACUUUACUGAGUUCCCAUCUUAAAAGGCCCUGAAAUUUAAAUUUGCUAAGCCAAGUUUCCCAAGAUUUUUCCGAUCAUGGCACAUAUAGAAAAUAUUUGCACAAUACACCCAAAGUAAAAGAACAAGAUUGCCAAUAGCCAGCUGGUGGCUCCAGUGGCCCCAGGGAUGAGAGGAAAAUUGUCUUUGCACACCUUGGAAAUUUGCCACUAUGCUACAACCCAACCACAGGAGUUCUGAUUCAACUCUGACCAGUCACCUGCAGAAUUUUCAACCACUUUAGAACUAGCACCAAGAAACUUUGGAAUUAAGGACCUUCUAAGUUUUUUGUUUGUUUUUUGUUUUGAGAUGGAGUCUCCCUCUGUCACCCAGGCUGGAGUGCAGUGGUGCAAUCUUGGCUCACUUAUCCAGGUUCAAGUGAUUCUCCCACCUCAGCCUCCUGAGUAGCUGGGACUACAGGCGUGUGCCACCAUGCCUGGCUAAUUUUUUCUAUUUUUAGUAGAGAUGGGAUUCACCAUUUUGCCCAGGCUGGUCUCGAACUACUGAGCUCAAGCAAUC